UACGAAGGGGGCUAGCGUUGCUCGGAAUCACUGGGCGUAAAGGGCGCGUAGGCGGCAUGACAAGUCACUUGUGAAAUCUCCGGGCUUAACUCGGAACGGUCAAGUGAUACUGUCGCGCUAGAGUGCGGAAGGGGCAAUCAGAAUUCUUGGUGUAGCGGUGAAAUGCGUAGAUAUCAAGAGGAAUACCUGAGGUGAAGACGGGUUGCUAGGCCGACACUGACGCUGAAGCGCGAAAGCCAGGGGAGCAAACGGG
rnacentral:rRNA from 1 species